rnacentral:rRNA from 1 species
GUAGCGGCGAGCGAACGGGGAGGAGCCCAGAGCCUGAAUCAGCAUGUGUGUUAGUGGAAGCGUCUGGAAAGGCGCGCGAUACAGGGUGACAGCCCCGUACACAAAAGCGCAUGUGCUGUGAGCUCGAUGAGUAGGGCGGGACACGUGGUAUCCUGUCUGAAUAUGGGGGGACCAUCCUCCAAGGCUAAAUACUCCUGACUGACCGAUAGUGAACCAGUACCGUGAGGGAAAGGCGAAAAGAACCCCGGCGAGGGGAGUGAAAAAGAACCUGAAACCGUGUACGUACAAGCAGUGGGAGCACAGGUUUACCUGUGUGACUGCGUACCUUUUGUAUAAUGGGUCAGCGACUUAU